CUCUGAUCAACACAAGUUCAUCGAAUCGUAAAAAAGAUAAUGAAUUUACCUCAAAAACCAAAAAAGGUUUCAGCCAAAGUAGAAAGAAUCGCGAUCCAACUCGCCGGAAUCGUAAUUCGGUGGAAGCAGCCGGAAUUGCCUCGAAAACGUGUGGGAACGGUGGAAUCGAGCGUUUUUCUGUGACUCUUCCUCACAAAUUCCGGGUUCGUGCGUCGGGGCCGGUUACUUGAAACCAGAGCAAAAAUGUAUGUUUUCUUUGAUUGAUAUUAUGUAUUUGUGUAACGUUUUUGCUGAAUAAUUAUUUCAAUUAAUUGCCGAAAACUUUCCCAAUACUCCCAUUAAUUGUCAAUGUUUUUUUUAACAAAUUAAUAUGUCGUUUUGCUUCUUUUUUUCUUGGUUGUUUUGAGUUUUUUCUAUGUCGUUUUGUAGCUAGCACACUCACUGUUGUAAUGUAUCUGUGGUGUUAUUUAAUCUUGGUUUUGUUUGCAGGAUAUCUGAGUUUUGAGAUGGGCAGCAAUGGAUACCAUACAAGAAAAUGUGUUAUCACACUCCUUGCUUGACCAACACCUGUUCUCAAUGGAUGAGGGAGCUUUGCUUUAUGGCUGAAGAGAGGGCCCAGGAAAGGAAUUACCAUGUACAAUUCAACCUAAUGUUGUUUCUGAGGUGCUUUGGUUGGGUGUUUUUUGAUGUUUUUUUGCUUUGAUCGGUGUUUGAAAUUGAUUGGUUGAAACUCUUUUUCCCUUUCCUUUACACCAUGUACUUCCUCAUACCUUGACCAGAAAACAAAACUUUUUUCCAACUCAUAUGAUAUGAUACUGCACAGUAUCGGAAGCAUGCCACUAUGGGACAAAACUUUGUAUCAAAUUCUUAAAUUGGUUUCUGAUUCUAUUAAUAACUUAAAA
rnacentral:lncRNA from 1 species